UCAGAUGGUAAAGAAUCUGCCUGCAAUGCAGGAGACCCAGGUUCAAUUCCUGG
rnacentral:tRNA from 1 species